AACGCGAAGAACCUUACCAAGGCUUGACAUACACCGGAAUCACUCAGAGAUGGGUGCGUCUUCGGACUGGUGUACAGGUGGUGCAUGGUUGUCGUCAGCUCGUGUCGUGAGAUGUUGGGUUAAGUCCCGCAACGAGCGCAACCCUCGUUCUAUGUUGCCAGCACGUCAUGGUGGGGACUCAUAGGAGACUGCCGGGGUCAACUCGGAGGAAGGUGGGGAUGACGUCAAAUCAUCAUGCCCCUUAUGUCUUGGGCUUCACGCAUGCUACAAUGGCCGGUACAAAGGGCUGCGAAACCGCGAGGUGGAGCGAAUCCCAAAAAACCGGUCUCAGUUCGGAUUGGGGUCUGCAACUCGACCCCAUGAAGUCGGAGUCGCUAGUAAUCGCAGAUCAGCAACGCUGCGGUGAAUACGUUCCCGGGCCUUGUACACACCG
rnacentral:rRNA from 1 species